rnacentral:rRNA from 1 species
UACAGAGGUCUCAAGCGUUGUUCGGAUUCAUUGGGCGUAAAGGGUGCGUAGGCGGCGCGGUAAGUCGGGUGUGAAAUCUCGGAGCUUAACUCCGAAACUGCAUUCGAUACUGCCGGGCUUGAGUAUGGGAGAGGUGAGUGGAAUUUCCGGUGUAGCGGUGAAAUGCGUAGAUAUCGGAAGGAACACCUGUGGCGAAAGCGGCUCACUGGACCAUAACUGACGCUGAGGCGCGAAAGCUAGGGGAGCAAACAGG